UACGAAGGGGGCUAGCGUUGCUCGGAAUCACUGGGCGUAAAGCGCACGUAGGCGGGUUGCUAAGUCAGGGGUGAAAUCCUGGAGCUCAACUCCAGAACUGCCCUUGAUACUGGCGGUCUCGAGUCCGGGAGAGGUGAGUGGAACUGCGAGUGUAGAGGUGAAAUUCGUAGAUAUUCGCAAGAACACCAGUGGCGAAGGCGGCUCACUGGCCCGGUACUGACGCUGAGGUGCGAAAGCGUGGGGAGCAAACAGG
rnacentral:rRNA from 1 species